rnacentral:rRNA from 1 species
GAUGAACGCUGGCGGCGUGCCUAAUACAUGCAAGUCGAGCGAACAGACGAGGAGCUUGCUCCUCUGACGUUAGCGGCGGACGCGUGAGUAACACGUGGAUAACCUACCUAUAAGACUGGGAUAACUUCGGGAAACCGGAGCUAAUACCGGAUAAUAUAUUGAACCGCAUGGUUCAAUAGUGAAAGACGGUUUUGCUGUCACUUAUAGAUGGAUCCGCGCCGCAUUAGCUAGUUGGUAAGGUAACGGCUUACCAAGGCGACGAUGCGUAGCCGACCUGAGAGGGUGAUCGGCCACACUGGAACUGAGACACGGUCCAGACUCCUACGGGAGGCAGCAGUAGGGAAUCUUCCGCAAUGGGCGAAAGCCUGACGGAGCAACGCCGCGUGAGUGAUGAAGGUCUUCGGAUCGUAAAACUCUGUUAUUAGGGAAGAACAAAUGUGUAAGUAACUAUGCACGUCUUGACGGUACCUAAUCAGAAAGCCACGGCUAACUACGUG